rnacentral:rRNA from 1 species
UAAGCGAUGGGGUGACGCAGGAAGGUAGCUGGGCCAGUCAGUGGUUGUACUGGUGUAAGAGUGUAGGCCGUGACAUAGGCAAAUCCGUGUCACAUUAAGGCUGAGACUUGAUGCAUACCCGUUGUGGGGAAUUCAGUGAUCCUAUGCUGCCGAGAAAAGCCUCUAGUGAGUUCAUACACGGCCCGUACCCCAAACCGACACAGGUGAUCAGGUAGAGAAUACCAAGGCGAUCGAGAGAACUGUGGUUAAGGAACUCGGCAAAAUGCCCCCGUAACUUCGGGAGAAGGGGGACCAUGCCCGGUGAACAUCUUCACGGUGGGAGCUGGGUGUGGUCGCAGAGACCAGAGAGAAGCGACUGUUUACUAAAAACACAGGUCCGUGCGAAGACGUAAGCCGAUGUAUACGGACUGACGCCUGCCCGGUGCUGGAAGGUUAAGAGGACCGGUUAGCCGUAAGGCGAAGCUGAGAAUUUAAGCCCCAGUAAACGGCGGUGGUAACUAUAACCAUCCUAAGGUAGCGAAAUUCCUUGUCGGGUAAGUUCCGACCUGCACGAAUGGCGUAACGACUUCUCUGCUGUCUCGACCACAGACUCGGCGAAAUUGCACUACGAGUAAAGAUGCUCGUUACGCGCGGCAGGACGAAAAGACCCCGGGACCUUUACUAUAGCUUGGUAUUGGCGUUCGAUUCGGUUUGUGUAGGAUAGGUGGGAGACUGUGAAGCAUGCACGCCAGUGUGUGUGGAGUCGUUGUUGAAAUACCACUCUGAUCGUAUUGGACGUCUAACCUCGGCCCAUGAUCUGGGUUAGGGACAGUGCCUGGUGGGUAGUUUAACUGGGGCGGUUGCCUCCUAAAGAGUAACGGAGGCGCCCAAAGGUUCCCUCAGCCUGGAUGGCAAUCAGGUGUUGAGUGCAAGUGCACAAGGGAGCUUGACUGUGAGACUGACACGUCGAGCAGGGACGAAAGUCGGGACUAGUGAUCCGGCACCGGCAAGUGGAAGCGGUGUCGCUCAACGGAUAAAAGGUACCCCGGGGAUAACAGGCUGAUCUUCCCCAAGAGUCCAUAUCGACGGGAUGGUUUGGCACCUCGAUGUCGGCUCGUCGCAUCCUGGGGCUGGAGUAGGUCCCAAGGGUUGGGCUGUCCGCCCAUUAAAGCGGCACGCGAGCUGGGUUUAGAACGUCGUGAGACAGUUCGGUCUCUAUCCGCCGCGCGCGUAAGAAACUUGAGGAAGGCUGUCCCUAGUACGAGAGGACCGGGACGGACGAACCUCUGGUGUGCCAGUUGUUCCACCAGGAGCAUGGCUGGUUAGCUACGUUCGGAAGGGAUAACCGCUGAAAGCAUCUAAGCGGGAAGCCUGUUCCAAGAUGAGGUUUCUCACCACCUUGCGUGGUUAAGGCCCCCUACAGACCAUGGGGUUGAUAGGCCGGAACUGGAAGCGCAGCAAUGCGUGGAGGUGACCGGUACUAAUAGGCCGAGGGCUU